rnacentral:rRNA from 1 species
AUUGAACGCUGGCGGCAUGCCUUACACAUGCAAGUCGAACGGCAGCACGGGUGCUUGCACCUGGUGGCGAGUGGCGAACGGGUGAGUAAUACAUCGGAACGUACCUUAUCGUGGGGGAUAACGCAGCGAAAGUUGCGCUAAUACCGCAUAAGCCCUGAGGGGGAAAGCGGGGGACCGUAAGGCCUCGCGCGAUUAGAGCGGCCGAUGUCUGAUUAGCUUGUUGGUGAGGUAAAAGCUCACCAAGGCGAUGAUCAGUGGCUGGUCUGAGAGGACGAUCAGCCACACUGGGACUGAGACACGGCCCAGACUCCUGCGGGAGGCAGCAGUGGGGAAUUUUGGACAAUGGGGGCAACCCUGAUCCAGCAAUGCCGCGUGAGUGAAGAAGGCCUUCGGGUUGUAAAGCUCUUUUGUCAGGGAAGAAACAGCAGCUCUAACACAGUCUGCGAAUGACGGUACCUGAAGAAUAAGCACCGGCUAACUACGUGCCAGCAGCCGCCGUAA